GUUUGAUUCUGGCUCAGGAUGAACGCUGGCGGCAUGCCUAAUACAUGCAAGUCGAACGGAGUGAAGCCUUCGGGUUUCAUUCAGUGGCGAACGGGUGAGUAAUACGCAGGGAACCUGGCCAUGGCAGGGGGAUACACUCUGGAAACGGAGCAUAAGACCCCAUAGGCAGUAAGGCGGCAUCGCCUUACUGUUAAAGAAAGCUGAAAGGCUUUGGCGAUGGAUGGACCUGCGGUGCAUUAGCUUGUUGGUGAGGCAACGGCUUACCAAGGCGAUGAUGCAUAGCCGGCCUGAGAGGGCGGACGGCCACACUGGGACUGAGACACGGCCCAGACUCCUGCGGGAGGCAGCAGUAGGGAAUUUUCGUCAAUGGGCGCAAGCCUGAACGAGCAAUGCCGCGUGAGUGAGGAAGGUCUUCGGACUGUAAAGCUCUGUUGCCGGGGAAAAAGGGGAAAUGCAGGAAAUGGCAUUUCAUGGAUGGUACCCGGCCAGAAAGCCACGGCUAACUACGUGCCAGCAGCCGCGGUAAUACGUAGGUGGCGAGCGUUAUCCGGAAUGAUUGGGCGUAAAGGGUGCGCAGGCGGUCUGUUAAGUCUGAAGGCAAAGGGAUGAGCUCAACUCAUUUAUGAUUCAGAAACUGGCAGACUUGAGGACAGGAGAGGGCGGUGGAACUCCAUGUGUAGCGGUAAAAUGCGCAGAGAUAUGGAAGAACACCAGUGGCGAAGGCGGCCGCCUGGCCUGUGACUGACGCUGAGGCACGAAAGCGUGGGGAGCAAAUAGGAUUAGAUACCCUAGUAGUCCACGCCGUAAACGAUGAGGAGCAGGUGUUGGGAGUGAAAUCUCAGUGCCGAAGCCAACGCAGUGACUCCUCCGCCUGGGGAGUAUGCACGCAAGUGUGAAACUCAGAGGAAUUGACGGGGGCCCGCACAAGCGGUGGAGUAUGUGGUUUAAUUCGAAGCAACGCGAAGAACCUUACCAGGUUUUGACAUCGGAUGCGAAGGUGCAGAGAUGCGCUGGAGGUUAACAUCCAGACAGGUGGUGCAUGGUUGUCGUCAGCUCGUGUCGUGAGAUGUUCAGUUAAGUCUGGCAACGAGCGCAACCCCCGUGGUAUGUUACUAACGCUUAGGGCGAGGACUCAUAUCAGACUGCCGGUGACAAACCGGAGGAAGGCGGGGAUGACGUCAAAUCAUCAUGCCCCUUAUGACCUGGGCUACACACGUACUACAAUGGCGUCUACAGAGGGAAGCGACCCUGAGAAGGGAAGCGAAACCGGAAAAGGGCGUCCCAGUUCGGAUUGAAGUCUGCAACCCGACUUCAUGAAGAUGGAAUCGCUAGUAAUCGCGGAUCAGCAUGCCGCGGUGAAUACGUUCCCGGGCCUUGUACACACCGCCCGUCAAACCAUGGAAGCCGGCAACGCCCGAAGCCGGUGGCAUAACCUUUUAGGAGUGAGCCGUCGGAGGCGGGGCCGAUGACUGGGGUUAAGUCGUAACAAGGUAUCC
rnacentral:rRNA from 1 species